rnacentral:tRNA from 1 species
ACUAUUUUGGCAGAUUAGUGCAAUAAAUUUAGAAUUUAUGAAUGUAAAGAUUUUACAAAUAGUA